GCUUUGUUUAACCACAAUGACAAUUUAUUUAUUUUGUUUUAAAGUCCCCCCCAAAAAUGACAAAUAACACAUUGGGGGCUGCUCAUUAAAACAAUGUGGGUUUGGAAAAAUAUCUCUAUUUUAGCCAACUUUAUUUAUUUCCAGAUAUUUUUUAGUCACUAUUACUAGACAGCUGCCACCAUAGUUCAACUGACUGCUUAGUAAAUAACCCCCAGAGAUUUCCCUCUUUAACUAGUAUAUUCUGGAGACCAAUGCUGUGCAAUUUCUGAUUGAUGUGG